rnacentral:lncRNA from 12 species
AGGGACUUCAACUUGACUUCAAAUAACCUAAAUUUAAACUGUUCUCUGUGCUCUCCCUGCAGAGUUGAGUAUCCAGAGAGCUGAGAGGACUGGCUGCAAGUUACUAAGUUGGCCCAAUUACAAAGAUCUUACAGACCAUCCUGGAAUCAACUGUUCAGGAUUGCUUUGGAAACCUCACCUCUUUUUGCAUCUGCACCACCAAGCAGUAACAGACUGAUGUUUUGGGGCAGUGUCACCCCCUUCACUCCAUAAGGAAAUGCUGUUCCUGCCUACUGUCCUGUCGGAAGCCAAGC